GGGGCCGACCGGUUUUGACAGCGAGACCAAUGGCGAUGUAAGCAUGUCGAGCGCUGGAACAUAGCUCGUAAAACUCAGGUUUCACACUUUUAAUUGGCGAUAAUAAUUACGCUCUUGCCGCAUAAUCUGAAUUAUAGUAGGAUUUGCCUCGUCCCUACCAGGUAGGGAAGCGAGAUGUUCCUGAAUAGCCCUUGUUGACGGCGAUUCAAUUAGGAGCACCAGAAAAGUCAAUAUAAGGCUGUUGUUCGCUUUGGCAGCAGCACUAAAAUUCUAAGAAGCUAAGUGUACGAUAGGCGGUUUUUGGUCGGUCGUAUAUCUAAAACCAAACAAAAACUAAGCAUGUAGAAAGCAUAAUCAUUGCUUGUUUGGACGAGGGUUCGAAUCCCUCCGGCUCCACUU
rnacentral:tmRNA from 1 species